AUUGAACGCUGGCGGCAGGCCUAACACAUGCAAGUCGAGCGCGCGGCGGACGGGGGAGUAAUGUCUGGGAAACUGCCUGAGGGAGGGGGAUAACUACUGGAAAAGGUAGCGAAUACACCAUACCACCAGAGAUGCCCAGAUGUGGUUAGCUAGUAGGUGGGGUAAUGGCUCACCUAGGCGACGCGCCCUAGCUGGUCUGAGAGGAGGACCAGCCACACUGGAACUGAGACACGUUCCAGACUCCUACGGGAGGCAGCAGUGGGGAAUAUUGCACAAUGGGCGCAAGCCUGAUGCAGCCAUGCCGCGUGUGUGAAGAAGGCCUUCGGGUUGUAAAGCACUUUCAGCGGGGAGGCGUUACCCGCAGAAGAAGCACCGGCUAACUCCGUGCCAGCAGCCGCGGUAAUAC
rnacentral:rRNA from 1 species